AAUCUCCACUCACAUUACCAACAUCAAACCUGUCCCUCCAAAGACGCAGGAUGAUGGACUGUCUCCAAGGGAACAAGAGCUAAAGGACCUAAAGGAGUCUUUACAGGACACACAGCCAGUUGGUGUUCUAGUGGACAGCUGUAAAACUAUGGACCAGGCCAAAGCAGUGCUGAAGUUCAUCGAGGCUAUUUCAGAGAAGACCUUGCGGAGCACUGUAGCUCUUACU